rnacentral:rRNA from 1 species
UACGGGGGGAGCAAGCGUUUGUUCGGAUUUACUGGGCGUAAAGGGCGCGUAGGCGGUCAGCACAAGUCAGUUGUGAAAUCUCCGGGCUUAACUCGGAAAGGUCAACUGAUACUGUGCGACUAGAGUGCAGAAGGGGCAACUGGAAUUCUCGGUGUAGCGGUGAAAUGCGUAGAUAUCGAGAGGAACACCUGCGGCGAAGGCGGGUUGCUGGGCUGACACUGACGCUGAUGCGCGAAAGCCAGGGGAGCGAACGGG